rnacentral:lncRNA from 1 species
CCCCUCAGCACCAGAUUCCCCACUUCAGGUUAAAGCCAGAAGCCUCAAAGUCAUGAGCCAUCUCCAAGUAACCACAGCUGUGACUUCAGGGUGGGACACAGACAGCGGCGGAGCGGCGCGGGGACGUCGGGCGGCGGCGACGGGCGGAGCGCAGAAGGAGCUCCGCGGGGACACGCGAUGCUGCUCCGCUCCGCGGGACCGCGACGAACGCGCCGAGGCCGCUCCGCACGUAGGGCCGCCGGGCUCCUUUUUUAAUCUCAUUUUUCAUCCUUUUUUUUUUUUUUUUUUUAAGUAUUUUUUUUUUAAUUAUUACUAUUUUUUAUUUUUUAAACUUCUCCCUUCCCUCUCCCUUUUUUUCUCCCCUUCUCCCCCUUCCUCUACUCUCCCACCCGCUCUGUCCCUUUGCCUCGCCCUUCUCCAUUUUUCCGCCUCUCUCCCACUCCUAGCGCGGCGCGUUGAUGAGCUGCGGCCCCCGGCAGCCCCAGGACUCCCUCCGGCUCUGUGCUCUCUCCGCACCCGCGCAGGGCCGCCCCUCACCGCGCGAUGCGCCGCGGAGCCGCGCUCUGAAACGGCGCCUGUUUCUCCCGUUUUCCCUUUUCCUCCUUCUUCUCUCCUUUUUCUAAAGGAGAGCGGCACUCUCGGGUUUUUCUCUCCCCCCCCCUCCCCUUCCCCCUCCCCCCCACACACUUUUUUUUUUCCUUUUCACCUCGCGCAGCGCGGGCAACCCUUGUGCUGCUCACUCCCCUCUCCCCCACCCAAGUAAAGCGCUGUGAAACUGCGCCGCUUUCUACCAUUUUUUUCCCCUCUUUUUCCCCUCCAUUUUUUAGUAAAGGAGAGCGGCAUCCCCGAACUCUCCUCUUACUUCCCCGCUUUUUUUCCACUUCACCUCGCAGCGCGGUCACCCCUUGCGCUGCCCACCCCCAAGCAAAGUGCUGUAAAACUGCGCUGAUUUCUGUCACUUUUUUUUUUCUCCCCAUUUUUAUCUUUUCGUGUUUUUAAAGGCGAGCAGCACCCUCCCGCCGACCUCUUUCCCCCCCGCUUUUUUUUCUUUUCACCUCGCGCAGCGCGAGUAGUCCUCACGCUGCGCACCCCCCCCCGCUAUCAAAGCGCGGAGCCUGGCGCAUGCCCCAGCCCGGCCGGGCGUCCCCCCCUCUCGCCGCUGCCCCCCGCCUCGCCCCGGCUGCCGGCCCCUUCAUGCUCGGCGCACGCCAUGCCCGUGCCGUAGCCGGG